rnacentral:rRNA from 1 species
GACGAACGCUGGCGGCAUGCCUAAUACAUGCAAGUCGAGCGAACAGAUGAAGUGCUUGCACUUCUGACGUUAGCGGCGAACGGGUGAGUAACACGUAAGGAAUCUACCUAUAAGCGGGGGAUAACAUUCGGAAACGGGUGCUAAUACCGCAUAAUAUCUUCUUCCGCAUGGAAGAAGAUUGAAAGACGGCUCUGCUGUCACUUAUAGAUGACCUUGCGGUGCAUUAGUUAGUUGGUGGGGUAACGGCCUACCAAGACGAUGAUGCAUAGCCGAACUGAGAGGGUGAACGGCCACAUUGGGAAUGAGAAACGGCCCAAACGCCUACGGGAGGCAGCAGUAGGGAAUCUUCCGCAAUGGGCGAAAGCCUGACGGAGCAAUGCCGCGUGAGUGAAGAAGGCCUUCGGGUCGUAAAACUCUGUUAUAAGAGAAGAACAAAUUGUAGAGUAACUGCUACAGUCUUGACGGUAUCUUAUCAGAAAGCCACGGCUAACUACGUGCCAGCAGCCGCCGUAA